UAGGGAAUCUUCCGCAAUGGACGCAAGUCUGACGGAGCAACGCCGCGUGAGUGAAGAAGGAUUUCGGUUCGUAAAACUCUGUUGUUAGAGAAGAACAGCGCAUAGAGUAACUGUUAUGCGUGUGACGGUAUCUAACCAGAAAGCCACGGCUAACUACGUGCCAGCAGCCGCGGUAAUACGUAGGUGGCAAGCGUUGUCCGGAUUUAUUGGGCGUAAAGCGAGCGCAGGCGGUCAAUUAAGUCUGAUGUGAAAGCCCCCGGCUCAACCGGGGAGGGUCAUUGGAAACUGGUUGACUUGAGUGCAGAAGGGGAGGGUGGAAUUCCAUGUGUAGCGGUGAAAUGCGUAGAUAUAUGGAGAAACCCCAGUGGCGAAGGCGACUCUCUGGUCUGUAACUGACGCUGAGGCUCGAAAGCGUGGGUAGCAAACAGG
rnacentral:rRNA from 1 species